CCCUUAGAUGUUCUGGGCCGCACGCGUGCUACACUGAUGCAUUCAACGAGUCUAAAACCUGGUCUGAUAGGGCUGGGUAAUCUUUUGAAAGUGCAUCGUGAUUGGGAUAGAUGAUUGCAAUUCUUCAUCUUCAACGAGGAAUGCCUAGUAAACGCAAGUCAUCAGCUUGCAUUGAUUACGUCCCUGCCCUUUGUACACACCGCCCGUCGCUCCUACCGAUUGAAUGAUCCGAUGAAUACCAUGGAUUGAGAGUACGAAUAGGUUCGCUUAUUUCUGCUGCUCGAGAAGUGGAGUAAAUCUUAUCAUUUAGAGGAAGGAGAGGUCGUAACA
rnacentral:rRNA from 1 species